GUGGGGAAUAUUGGACAAUGGGCGAAAGCCUGAUCCAGCCAUGCCGCGUGUGUGAAGAAGGUCUUCGGAUUGUAAAGCACUUUAAGUUGGGAGGAAGGGCAGUAAGUUAAUACCUUGCUGUUUUGACGUUACCAACAGAAUAAGCACCGGCUAACUUCGUGCCAGCCGCCGCGGUAAUACGAAGGGUGCAAGCGUUAAUCGGAAUUACUGGGCGUAAAGCGCGCGUAGGUGGUUUUGUAAGUUGGAGGUGAAAUCCCCGGGCUCAACCUGGGAACUGCCUCCAAAACUGCAUGACUAGAGGACGGUAGAAGGUAGUGGAAUUUCCUGUGUAGCGGUGAAAUGCGUAGAUAUAGGAAGGAACACCAGUGGCGAAGGCGACUACCUGGACUGAUACUGACACUGAGGUGCGAAAGCGUGGGGAGCAAACAGGAUUAGAAACCCUGGUAGUCC
rnacentral:rRNA from 1 species